CAGUAGCCACGGUAAUACGAACCGUGCGAACGUUAUUCGGAAUUACUGGGCUUAAAGCGCGUGUAGGCGGGCCGCCACGUCGGUUGCUGAAAUCCCCCGGCUCAACCGGGGAAGUGGCAUCGAUACGAGCGGCCUUGAGGGGGGUAGGGGGAUCUGGAACUUCCGGUGGAGCGGUGAAAUGCGUUGAGAUCGGAAGGAACGCCCGUGGCGAAAGCGAGGUCCUGGACCCUUUCUGACGCUGAGACGCGAAAGCCAGGGGAGCGAACGGGAUUAGAGACCCCGGUAGUCCCUGUCUCUUAUA
rnacentral:rRNA from 1 species